CAAUACAGAGUGAGUGUCUCUGAAAUCCUAAUUGCAAAUAUCCCCUUGCACCCUGGGUUCCUUUUUUGAUGAUGGUGGUGGUGUGAUAAUGUGUAUGUGUGUAUGUGUUUCACAUGAGCUUAUUCAGCUCUAGAAAUAAAAGGAUUUCAAGAAUUUUCUUUAUUUAGGUAUAAAAAAAUACAGUACGUCCCAUGCACCAGUGUGGCCAAUAUAUAGUUAUUAUCACUAGAGCAGUUAACUACAAUGAUAGGAAAAAGAAGGUUAUAGGAAUUUGUUCAUCCAACUAAAAAAUCUGAAUUAAAAUUGUUAACCUAAAUAGCAACUCACUUAUUAUGCAAAAACCUUUAUUCUAUAUGUUUGUGAGAGCUAGAAAUAUGUAAGUAUUAUUAGUAAAAUAUAUAUAUACAUAUAUAUAUAUAUAUGUAUAUAUAUAUAUAGUAGUUAUUGGUUUAAAAAAAAAGUCAAGUGUUAUCUACAGUCUCCUGAAGUGUGAGGGCCCUUGCCCUGAGGGGAACCUCAGUCCAUGACCAAGAGUGAAUUGGAGAGUUUGCCUCCUUUCCUGCCCUCUCCCGUUGAGUGAUGCCACUUCCCCAGGGUGUGUUUGCAGUGGAAUGUUCCAGAUUUGGCUGAAAGUGGGAGAUGCACAGAUGACCACAGGGCAUGGGCAAGGCAGGGUGUGCCCGAGGGAUGAGGCCUUGCCAGGGUUUCCUGAGAUGUGGCAACAAACGAGGUGCGUAAAGGCAAAUGACACAGUUCUUUUGUGCAGUCAUGUUUGGGUUUGGACUUUGACCAGAGUUGCUGAGGGUCACAUCUUGAGGGCCUUCAAGUCAAGAGAUAAGGAGUAGAUGGAGAAAGAGAGAGAGAGAGAAAGAGCGUGAAGGAGUGACUGGGCAAGGAAGAUAAGGGGAGAGGUCUUCUGCUCUGGGGAACAUCUGCUCCACUUCCCAGGCAAAACUGAUGGGGUGUCGAUGAGACUCAAAUUGGGGUCACAGCUACUCCAGGCCCUCUCCCGAGGGUGUGGGUGUGCAGGUGGCCCUCAGCAUAUGAUCUGUCACACUUGGUCUCCACUGUCCCUCCAGGAUGGAUUCACAGUUGCUUCAAAGUUCAACAAGCCGUUUUCCUGACUUUGGUUGAAUUUUCAGUGCUCAGUACAGCAGUUACAGGUGUAGUAGCCAGCGAGGUCACCUCAGGACCCAAGUUUGGUAGCUGUCAAGGGACCCACUCAUCCUUCUUGACAGACCUGGGGAGAGGCUGGGAGUGGUGGGGACUUGGGAGAGCAUGACGAAGUUGAAGCAGGGCUGGCAUGAUGGAUGGUUCCAGUCUCUGGUGGGACUGGGCUGCAGAGACUCUUGCCCCACAGGCCAUGCCCUUUGCUCCAGGCAGACAGGCACCAGGAUCUCACCAACCUUACCGGGGGGAGGGGGGGGGGUUGGGGAAGAUCUCCCCUUGGCUUUUGAACCAUAAGCUGCUUUAAGGAGCCACAGCAAGUCUUUGAGUAGGACCCGUGGUCCCAGGUGACAGGGUUAUGGAUGUCCAAGCCGAGACAGAACACCAGCCUGGAUCUUCCAGAGUUUAGGGGGUAGCUAUCACUUGAAGUAUGUUCCUGGACAUUUCAGGGACCUGGAGUUUGCUACCCGAGGUGGUGAAAUCUCUGGGACCCACGAGGAAGGGCUGCUGGGCUAGGGUGUCAGUGCUACAAUUUGCGGGCUCAGUGCCUGUUGUCCGACUGGCCCGCGCUGCAGAGGUUUGGGUCCCCAGACCUGGAGGCCCACAUCUCCCUAGUACACCAGCUCCACCUGGGGGUCUGAGCGGUACAGCUCCGCCAGCAUCUUGAACCUGGGGCCCCAGUCGUUGAGGAAGUCGUAAUCGACGUCCGAGUCGGAUGAAUCGGUGCCCAGAGAGCUGAGGGACUCGGCGAUGGACUCGGAGCCCUCGUAGCCGUAGAUGUGCAGCGUGUCGUAGGGCGGGCCUGCGCCGUCGUGGUCGGCCUCGUCCUUCUUCACCUCGAUCAUGGCGGCCAUCUCCCCCGGCCCGCCGUGCACCGCGCCGUGCCGCGGAGGCUUCUGCACCUGCGCGUAGACGGACGGCCGCGCCUCCAGCGUGGGCCGCGGGGGCUUGGCCCCGCCCUGCCGCACCGAGUUGAGCACCGACACGUCGUAGCUGGUGGUGUCCAUCUCGCCUCCGCCCUCCUCGUCAUAGGUGACCAGCUGCUCGUGGAUCUCGGGCACGCUCUUGCCGUGGGCGCGGGCCUGCUUCCGGAGCCGCCGCCGCAGGAAGAUGAGGAGGGUGAUCACUGCAGCGAGCCAGAGCUAGUCAGACCCGGCCCACCUGGCCCUGUGGGGCUCACCUGCGUCCUCCCCUCCUCCCUGGAAAUUCCCGGGCCAGCCCAGCAUCCCAGCGACACCUGGGCCAAGGCGGAGGAAGCCACUGAGGCCACGGAAGCAUGCCUACUUUUGCCUGGAAUUCAGUCAGCUCAGCAUCGUCACUCUUGUAAGCGUAUGCUCAUCAGAAGCUCUGACUGGCACUGCUGAUAUCACAGACUUUGGGCUGUGAGGAGUGGACCAGAUCCUGUCCUGGGGCCACCUGGUGGUCCUCCUUCUUCACUUCAAGGUGAAACCAGUGACUUCCCGCAUUGCCUCUGUGGGAGCCGGGUGAGCACUAAUGAUCUGCUGGUGCCCAACAGGAACCGCCACAGAGCUUCCGAUCUUUCCAGAAGUAGGCAGGAAAUUGAGAGAGCAUCAUUUCAUGGAAACCAAAUUAGGAGACUGGCCAGCAGCAUUGGAUGAAGAAGGAGUCACAAAAUCAGGACUAAAGAGUGCUCUUUGGCGUUGGCAUUUCCAAGGUUUAUUGGUACCCUUCUGUCUAAUUGAAUAUCAAGGGCUUUCAUCACGGCUGAGCAGCAUAACACUUGAAGUGCCCAACACGUGCUAGGUGUGCAGUGACGGGUGGAAGAGGCUGUGAGGAACCAGGGAACAGACUGAGGCAGAGAGGGAAGAAACAGAUUGAUGAAGGAGCCACAAAUGAGUCAUCGUUCGAGGCUGGGACGUGAAGAUUUUAUAAGAAAAGCCGGUGGGCUCCGAGACAAAGUUAAAAAGCUGCAAGUGUCCCCCACGAACUUCUGGAUCUCCUGUAUCCCCAGCAGACCCUCACCUCCCUGCCUCUGGGGUCAGAGGCCACCUUGAACGGUGGGUCCAAGAAUGCUAAUCACGGGGUGAACUCAGAAGGAAUGUGCUUUCUCAAGAUGAAUUUCCUAACAUGGUAGAAAAUGGACAGAAUCCAGGAAGCAGCUCUGUCUAUUGCCUGGGGAUGGAUGUCUGUGUGCUGGCCACGAGGGGUGACCUCUCCAUCCAUCACCGGGGAUGGAGCCCUGGCGCCUGCGGCCCACAGGAUUCGGGGAGAGAGCUAAAAGUCCUCAAGUUUCUCCUGAUUCUCUAGGAGCCAGAAAUUCAGAGCCCUGGGUCCCACAUUUGGUUUCUCUGAAAAUAAGCUUUCAGGUGAUUCUUUUUGUACGUGAUGAGAAAAUGCCCCAGGAACUCAUAUUUUUGUUCUGCGUGUUUCCUAGCAUCUACUCAACUAAAGCACAACAACGUAUUUGUGUAAAUUUGUGCAAAUCAGCUGACAAAGAUUUCCUAUUGUUUAUUUCAUGGACUCCAUUCACUGGGCCACCCUGGAAAUUUACGGCCGUACAAUUGUUUGGAGACAGUGUAUGUGGCAGGUUAUGGAAACCAAACCUCCAGUCAGAACAAACCACCUUCACCAUUUGGAAGCGUUGACAGGUCCCUGCUCACCUGGGCUCUCCUACUGAGCCUGGUUCCUGAGGGCCUUCCUUCAGCUCCGGACUCAGCCAACUUUCUCAUCUUGGUUACCACAGACUCUCUUCCUGCAUGGUUGAUUCCAGUCCCCCUGAUUCUGUGGCUCUUCCCCAAACGUACCAGACAAGUUCUUAAUCCCUUUGCAUGCUCUGUUCCCUCUGGCUGCGAGAGUUUCCUCAUGUGCCCUCACUCCAUCCGCCCUUGAAAGCACAUGCUCCCUGGAAAGCCUUCUCAGUGGUUUCACGUACAAUGAUUUCCUGUUAUUUCUCACUGCGAAUAUGACAUUGGGCCCAUUGUAAGAGGAUCCCAUUUUGUGAGCCUGUUGAGGCUAGGCGCCCUGGUUCAUCUCUGUUUCUCACAGUCCUUGCCCAAUGCCUGCACAAAGUAAAUGCAAAAUAAAUGUUUUCUGAUUGAAUUGGAGCACUUAAUAAAUAUAAAACUUUAUAUAAAGAUCCAGUUUACAAAUAACAGUAAUUUCUAAUGAACUCUACAAGCAUUUUUUGAGCGUCUGCACAUCCAGGCAUUGGGUGACAGCUUCUGCUAUCAGGGCACAGCGUGGGUUGGUGUUUUAUGUUGCCAUAACACAGGUGCAGACAUCACCAUAGCUGGGAUCCACCGGUUCCUCUCUUCUCCGUGACAUUUUCCUCAGCUCCUUCCUGACUCCUGAGCAUGCCCAGUGAGCCACACUGGGGAAAGAUUUCACAGGGCUGGGACUGUCAGCCCCAGGGGCAAGGUGACCAGUGUUUUAUUACAUGAUUACCAUGGACAAGGUCCCAUGCCUCAGUCACUUCAUUCUUAAACCUCAUACCGUUCCAGAAAGAAUCCAAAGAAGGAGACUGUUAUAAGUUCUGUUUUACAUAUGAAGAAAUGGAAGCUUAGAGAAAUUGUCAUUGGCCUAAGAUCAUUCAUCUACUGAUUAUAUGUCUAGAAAUCUCUAAAGACCCAGAACUCGACUUUGAAGCCUAGACUUCUUUCACUGAUCCCUGACGACCUUGUGUUUACUACUCCCACCUCUGCCUCAAACAAAGUUCCUUAUAAUAAACAAACAUAUUUAAUUGACCCUACAGGUGCAUAACUAUGUAUAUCUUGUUGGUGAAAGGGCAUCAUCAGGUUCAACUCUAUUUUUUAUGCCAUACUUCUUUUUUAUGACGCACUCUGGGACUUCCAGAUGCAUUCAAAACUUCCCUAGGUGUUCAUUCAUAAGGCAGAUUCUACCUGCAGAGGAGGGUUCAGGGGACACAGAAGUGUUGGCAUCAGACUCUGGUCCUCCAAUGAAAAGCUUCUGCAAGGAAAACUGGACGUGGCUUGAUGCUGAGGCUAUGAGACACUCACCAUCAAGAGGGAAGCCAAGGAUUCAGCCAACGUGUGCAGGACUCUUGGGACAUCAUAUCCAUCACUCCUCUGUUCUAUCUACUGUGUGGGUGGAGGGAGGUUUUAUUUUAUAGUAUUUUAUUUUAUUAUUAUUUUUUUUACUUUUCAUUUGGAUGUGACCCAUCUUGUCAGCCCAUUCUUUUAUGCCCAUGCAUACAAAUUAAUUCUGUGGGUAAUUCUGAUAGAAAAUUUGAUGAGUUGGCCAGAGAAACUUCAGCAGAGAAAUUAAAUGAAAAGUAGUAAUUUUAAGAGAGGAGAAAAAUAAAAUGACAGUUUUGAUCAUUUCAGGCCCAGGGCAUUGGAUGGAGACGACAUUUCAGCAUUCUAAUUCAUUUCCUCAUUUUCAUUCUUUAUUUAAAUUGCCACUGCAUCUGGAAGGAGGCUUUUCAGCCCAUCCUGAACUUGCAGGAAGUGGCGGAGGUUUUGCUGCCCGGGUUUGUUCACUAGGUGGCGUGGCUCAGACUACUUUUCUGCGUUGCCCGGAUUCAGCUGGCUCAGGAAGCCAUCACUGGACUCCUGUCAAAUUUCUGUUAAUUUCAUUUGGGACAAACAGCAUGCCCCUAAGAGUAUAAGAAGUCGGGGGAUUCUUUGAUUCUCGAAGCAGGAGUUAUUGCUGGAGAAGUGCCUGCUACUGGAUUAGGAAAGAUUCAUAGAGCCCGGCAGUACCUUGUAGAUCAUCGUGUCCAUCUGUGGUUUCCAGACUUAUUCGUUAGAGUAAAACACUUUCCUCAGCAAAAUGCUAUGCAGAACCAAAUACGUAACACAGGAAAUAGCAUAGCUCCUGUGGUUGCUUUCUGGAACCCUUGGGAUUCGAGAACUAUUGAUCUUAUACCUUCCCUCCCUCCCUCCCUUCUCUUCCUUCUUCUCUCCCUUUCAUUUUCCAGAGUUGGAAAUGGAGGAUGAGGGAGGACAAGAUGUUCAUGGCAGAUCUUGGCCCCAAACCAGUCACUGAAUAAUCUUUCUGUGAAGCCACUGCCUUGUUUAUUUAAAUCCCGCUGAGUUCCCAUUAAAGGAGUCUCCAAAGAAAAUGGUUCUAAAUUCCCUGGGAGAUACUGUUGUGGAUGGAGACACACAGUUGUUGAAUCAGUGUGUUGACACUGAUCAUAAAUUCAAACAGGACAAGUGUGACAACGAUGAGUCUGUGGAUUCCGGGCCAGACACUGGACAAACUCUUUCAUGCCUUAUUUUAUUUUUCUUCACAAGAAAAAUGUGAGGUUUGUUUUUCUAUUCCUACUUUACAGAUGAAGAAAAUUAGAUUCAGAGGUUAAACUUUUUGUAUCAACUAAUGUAUUAAGGUAGGGGUGAAGCUCUUAUGACAAAGAGACCCUAAAACACAGUGUCUUAAGUACAGUAGAAUUUACUUCUUCCUCACAUGAUAGUUCACAGGAAAGUGACCCAGGGCAGCUGGGUGUGGCUGGGCUCAUUCCAAACUAUGGCUUCUAUCUCUGUAUCUAAUAUGGCUUUACCAGAUCCUUUCACCUCCGCAACAUCAGAGAAGCCAUAUAGCCAGUAAAUGAUGGGGCCCAGAUUUGAACCAAGGCUUAUGUGAUUUGAAAGGCUGGUGUUAACUGACCACUGGACAAACUUCCCACGUUACUGGGGCACCUGGGUGGCUCAGUCAGUUGAAUGUCCCACUUCAGCUCAGGUCAUGAUCUCACAGUUUGUGGGUUUGAGCCCCGUGUCAGGCUCUUUACUGACAGCUUGGAACCUGGAGCCUGCUUUGGAUUCUGUGUCUCCCUCUCUCUCUCUGCCCCUCCCCAGCUCAUGUUCGCUCUCUCUCUCACUCUCUCUCUCUCUCUCUCUCUCUCAAAACUAAACUAAAAACAAAACAAAACAAAACUCCCAACUUCCUCCAUUACUUCCAUCCCCAAUCAUUACAGACCAAAUAUAACAACCAAGUGCCACCAUCUAAGGCAUCAUGGUUGGUUGUGGUAGCCAGCCUGCAAGAUGGCUUCCAAUCAUUCCUACCUGUGGUAUCCAUGCCCUUGCGUAGUUCCCUCUCACAAGAAUGGGGCCAGCCUGUGUGGUCAACAGAAUAUCAUGGAUAUCAUCGACAAUACCUUUUGAGGAGGCUAAGUCCCCAAAGAUACUGAACUUUCUGCUUAGCUCUUUCUUGGAUCCCUAGCUCUGGGGAAGCCAGCAUCAUGCUGGAGGACACUCUAGCAGCCUUAUGGAGAGGUCCACAUGAUAAGGAACUGAGGCCUUCCAACAGCACCCAGCACUAGCUGGCCAGCCGUGUGAGUGCACCGCCUUGGAAGCAGAUCCUGCGGUCUCAGACAAGCCCGUGGAGAGCUGCACCCUGGCCCGAUCCCGAGUGUAACGUCCUCAAACUUCCUGCACCAGAAUCAAUCAGUAAAGCUGCACCCAGAUCCCUUGCCUCAUGGAAAAUAUGUGAGAUAAUAAAUGUUUCUUUUUAUUUUAUGCCACUAAAUUUCAUGGUAAUUUGUUAUGCAGCUAUAAAUAGCUAAUAUAUUAGUAUAGAUGGGAGGUUAAGAGGAUGCAUUUUUUUUCCUAGCCCAAACUCCAACCACCUUCUCAGGAGAGCCUUAACUGAUCCCAUCAGGGAAGUACCUACUUUUCUUUCCUCUGAGUCAUGGUUCCUUUACCCCAUCUCAUGUCACUCAGAGCUGAACUAUGUAUGUUUACAAGUCAGUUUCCUUCUCCAGACCGCUCUCGUUCCUCAGUGACAAUGGCUUGUGUUCAGAUUCUUCUUCCCUGUGGCCUAAGAGCGCCAGAUUACAUGUGUAUUGAAGUGACUGCCUGAAACCUUCUACCUAUCCUUCAGCUCAUUUGUUUUAUAAUAUUAUGCACAUAUUUGCUUCAGAUGUAGGCUCUAGAAACAUUGUGUUGCCUUUUACAUGAAGCCUCUCAGUUGCUUCUUUGUUACAGUAACAGGUUUUUAAAAAUACUCUGUAUAAAUAAAAGAUAAAUCUCCUAAGGGCCAGAGAUCAUGCUGUUUUAGGAGCUUUUACAAAUAGUUAGCACCUCCUUAUUCUUGAAAAUCAGGCCUGAAAUCUCAUCAAAACAAAUGUCCCCUGGAGAUCCCCAGGGCUGAGAUUUUUUUUUUUUUUUUUUUUAAAUCACAUUCCCUCUUUUCCCAUUUAGAAGAGGAGAGAGGAGGCCUGUCAUGACCUUGCUUGGCUCAGGUCUCCCCUGUUUCCCUGACCUGGGGGUUUCUACCUUCUGAUGGACCUACCUGCUGCAUUUCUGAAGCCACCUCAUUUCCAGUCAUGCAUACAGCCUUGUGGGUAACUUUUUUGCAAAAGCACCCAAGAAGUUUCAUCUAAAUUUCCUUCCACGGCGCUUAAUUUAGAACUGUAUCAGAGGGAAGUUGGAACACAUUCUGUGUCCUUUUGAAACCUAGAUAUUGUUCUCGGUCUUCAGACUCUAGGAAGUUAGGGAAAUUUGUGUAAGUUACACGGAUUUGACUUUUGGUUUAACAAAGGAAGAAGUUGAAAUGUUUUCAGUGUGAUUGUGGCUUAACAAAUGAAAAAGGAAAAACAGGAUAUUUUGUGAUGGUCUACAUUGUUCUCUUGUUGAAAAUGCCAUGGUCGCAAUUCCUCAUGGGUAUCCACAUUCCCAUCUUUACUGGGCCUUUGGUCAGAGACUUGAGUCUAGAUUGAUCUACAACCUUCCUCCUCCAAGAGUUACGUGUUCAUAUUAAAGAACAUUAAGGAGCAGAUUUUCUUUUUUGCUUGUUUUUCAUGAUGACCUUAAUUAACUCACAUGGGACAGUGAUUAAGAUCAUGUUUAUGAAAACAGUCAUGCAUCAAUGCAUCAUCAGAGAGAGGGGUUGUAAAUUUUAUCCCCCAAAACUUCCCCCACCCCAAACACAUCUCAGUUAUAAACAUUUUCCAUGCUUACCCAGAUUUAAGGCUCUAUCGAUCCACAUCAUUGAUUGAAUAACAUUGUAUUCUUUGUUUUUGCUGUUAAUGAAAAAAUCAGCUACGUGAAUUCCUGUGUCACUUGUAAGAUGCAUUCGUAUUUUUAAGACAUAAUGAAAAAGGAAAAGAAAUAUUUAUCAUAUGCUUAAGGAUGUUUGAUAAGUUUCUUGAGAGGUAAAGUCUCUUGAUUCCUGGAGGUGAUCAGGCAGAAACAUGAAUGGAGGUUAACGCACUGGAAAAAGCGCUCUAAAGUCCUGUCAAUAUGCCUGUUUCCAACACGAGACAGAAAGAUCUUUGAGGAAAGGGAUGAUGUCAUGUGCACUGCUGGGUCCCUAGCACCUCGGUCGAUGCCCAGCACCCAGAGUCACUUGAUAAUUAUUUGCUGAACGAAUCAAAUAUCGGAGAUCACAGGGCCUCCUUGAUCUCUUCUGAGUUCCACCCAUGCCCUCAUUAUCUCCCCACCUCAGAAGGCUGUUGCAAGCAUCGAAUGAGGUUACCAUGCACCCAGAAAGUCCUGGUAUAAGUUAAAUUCUCGGCAAACAGAUGUCUGCUCCUUCUGCUCCUCUUCACGCUCCCCCUCCUUCCAUAUUCUUUGCCUACUCAGGAUCCUUCAACAGAAAUUAAACUUUGCAGACGUAUUCCCCAGGGCCUUCCCGAAGACAUACUCUUUCUGGGAGAAACUGAGUUUAUUGACUCUUCAGCCUUGAGAGAGCAGUACGGGGGGUGGGGGUAGGGGGUUUGGAUCGGGGCUGGUAGAGGCCCUGCUCCAUCAGGCUGGUGGGGGGG